UACGUAGGGUGCGAGCGUUAAUCGGAAUUACUGGGCGUAAAGUGUGCGCAGGCGGCCGCGCAAGUCGAGUGUGAAAGCCCCGAGCUUAACUUGGGAAUUGCGCUCGAAACUACGUGGCUGGAGUGUGGCAGAGGAAGGUGGAAUUCCCAGUGUAGCGGUGAAAUGCGUAGAUAUUGGGAGGAACACCGGUGGCGAAGGCGGCAUCCUGGACCGGCAUUGACGCUGAGGCGCGAAAGCCAGGGGAGCAAACGGG
rnacentral:rRNA from 1 species